UGCUGGAGGAGAUGGGAAAAGACACCCUGGGAACAGGUGUUAGUGUUAGCUGCUCUUUAGAGGUGCUAAUGAAGACUCCCUCAAAGGAACGGGAUCACAGGGAAUCCUGAGGAUCUGAUAAAUUUCCGGGAUGUGGCUGUGUCAAUCUGACAUGCCUCCAUCAAGGAGAUGUUAUCACUCCUUGAGUCAGCCCUGCAAACAGCUCCGCUAAAUUUCCCUGAGCUAAUUGCUCUUUAAUAGUUUGUUGUGUGAGCACUCGCUAAUUACAAGUCAGGCAGCUUUGUGAAAACACAUCUGAAAUAUUCCUAAAGGGCCAUUCUGGGGCAAUGAUAGUGUUUGGAGGUCGAUGAGAAGCAAAUUCCUGAUGAAGUAUUGAAAGCUGGAAGAGGAAACAUUGAAUAUUGGAAGAGGAAAUAUUGAAUGCUGGAAGCUGAAGGAGAUACAGUGCUGGCUUUCAGAGAACAUCAGAGCUCAUUUUCUGCAGUGGUGGUGGUGCAGCUGUGGGGUCUGGACUGCUGAGAUUCAAGAUCAGGAUACCAAAGUUUCCUCCUGAGGAAGCACCUCCUGGAACUGAUGAAGGUUUCCUCCUCAUUAACUUCUCCUAUCCCACCAUCUCCCUUCCACGACACGGUGGAGCAGAUCCCAAAUGACAUCCAAGAACUGAACACACACACACGAGCUGGAUUUUCCCUAUUCCUUUCUCAACCUUCCCCAGUUUUCCACUUGCUGAGGGCUGAGCUGACCUGCCCAUGGAUCUGCUGAAAAGAACUUCAGGGUCUCAUUCCCGAGUGGUGCCAGCCCUCUCUGAGCUCAGGGAUGCACAGUGUGGAAAAGGUUUGGUGUCACUCUGUGCUUGUUUUGCCAUAGAAGGAGAGCACCAGGGAUGAGCAUCAAGAAGAGCAUCUUUCUUCUGCAGAGCAUCCCAGGUGUUUUCCACAUCCUUCUGCCUGUCUUCCAAAAGUGAACACAGACGCUGGCCACCAUCCAGAUGGAGAAAUCAGCCACCUUCACCCUGGAGACAGCUGUCCACUGGCUCACGGCUCCCAUAGGAGAGCAAACCUGCAGGAGAAGCCCCUGGGAUGGCAGGAAAAGGAGCACAAUCCCCAUUCUGGUGCAGCUGUCCUGCAGCUGGGUGCAACUGGAGCCCCACUGGGAAUGGCCCUGCAGGUGUCCUGCUCCCUUUCUCAACACAGUGGUUCCCUUCCCUCAGUGCUCACUGCUGCAGCUGGAAUUUCAAUUCUGCAGGGUUUUAAGCUGGAAAAGCAUCAGUGUCCUCCAUCCUCUCCUGUCUAACCCAGGUAGGUGUUUGUUAAUACUCCACACAGGGAUUCAGCUCUUCAGGAAAAGCUGCUGUACCAGUGUAUCCAAGGGAUCUCUCCACAGCCAGAUGGGAACAGCUGCAGCACAAGGAAGCAAUUUUAACUAUGACCCAGGAGUCAGGAUUCCCACCUUCUCCGUGCACCAGUGCCUAGGGAUGUGUCCGUAAAAUUCCACUGUUAAGAGAAAGCUCUUCCCUGGGAUUGCCUCUGGCUUUGGGAGGAGCUGGGAUGGCUCAGCCUCAGUUCCUUACUGGACUGGCUGAACUCUGCUGCUCCUGGGGUGCCAAAUCUGCUUUUGGGUCUCAACCUGCCCGCUGGGAUAUUGAGGAGAAAUUCCAGAAACUCCAUGCUGGCCCUGGAGAAGAAAAGGCUCCUUCUCAACAAGCCCUCCUCAGUUUGAAGCUGUUUCACACUGUGGGGCACAGGCUGAAACAAGGAGAGUUUUAAGGUGCUUUCCUGCCCAAACCAUUCAAGGAUUCCAUUAUUUCAUGGCUCUGGUAUUCCAUGAUUUCAUAAUACUGUGAUUCCACAAUUCCAUGAUUCUAUGAUGUAAUGAUUCCCUGAUUCUAUGAUUCCCUGAUUUCAUGAUUCCAUAAUUCUAUCACUCCAUUAUCCCAUGAUUCUGUGGUUCCAUGAUUCCAUUACUCCGUGAUUUCAUGAUUCCAUGAUUUCAUGAUUCCAUGAUUCCAUGAUUUAGUGAGCUGCAUUUUACAUUUCUCUUGAACCCAGGGACUGUUUGGCUCAGUGGGUUUUUACAUUUUGGAGAAUUGUGCCAUUUUCCUGCAUUUUAAGGGCUCAUGGGAAUUACACUGGCAACAACCGGAAAAACCUGACACCAUUUGAGUUUUUUAUCUCCACCUGAGUUUUUUGUCUCCUUCCCCAUGGAAAUUUGGCUCAUUGGAAUGGAUAACACAGCUCAUUGAUGUGAACUCAUCCCCUUGUCACAUUGUGUUAUUUUAUACCAACCCCUGAACCACCCCUUUGGUCCCAAAGCCUCAAAGUUCACCAGAUUCCAGGACAAUCCCACUUCCCAAAUGUGCAGUUUAAUACUUUGGACUGCACAUCCAAUUUCCCACUGGAAAUAAAAGGGAAAACCAACUUGUUUAUCAAAGUUUCAUUUUGGCACAGCGUUAUCUUCGACUGCUCCACACAAGUUCCAGUUUCUGCCUCAAAUUCAGCGUGGGAGGGCUGAGACUCCCCAGAAUCCCACAGCAGGCUGGGAGCACAGCUGCAGCUGAGCUCCAGAUGUGCUCCUGCUAAGUCAGAAUGGCUGCAAGCAGAGAAGAACAAAGAGGGCGGGAUUGGGAGGGAAUUUUUUUGUUGGGUGUUAAGAAAGUGGAAAAUGGAUAUUAUGGAUAUAAAAGGCAAACAUAAAAUCAUGGAAUCAGGAGUGAAUGGUGAGUUAAUAAGUUGAGUUUGCAUUUUCGGUGUGUGAGCAAGGAAAUAAUGGAUUGGGUUUAGGAGGGGGGCUGUCUUUAUGCCUUUUAUUACUGAGGCUGCUUCCCUGCCUGGCAAUCCUUCUGAGAACUCCUGACUUCAUCCCCAGCUCCACAGGCACACGAAAACAAAGGAAAGAUGGAGGAAAUGUCAGCCAAGCAGUAGGAAAAAGCACCCAAAUAGAAAAACAAAGCAGCUGAGUGCUUUCCAGGGAGAAUGGAGCAGGUCUUCCCAUGUGGGAGCCCAUGGCCAAGGCUCAGGUAGGAAUUAACACAAAUCCAGGUGUCUGCAUUGUCUGGGUUAUCUGCAAUUGUUGAAAACACAUCUCAGCAAUGCAUUGGACUCCAAAGCCUGGCUCUAAGCAGAAUCCAAGGCACAAUGGUCACCCCCCUAGGCAAAAGGAGAGGGGCACAAAACCAAAUCUGAAAACACAAAACAUUUCCUUUCCCCCAGCAACCAGCGUUUCCUGGUAAAA